AAGAAGCCCACCAAGUUUGACACCUCCCCAUGAAUAAAUUCAAUAGACAAGUGUGCUUUUGUGUGAUUCAAUCUUACUAUAUAUACAGUUGUGGUCUAUGACAAUUGAGAGAAGAACAAACUGACAAUGAAGAAAACAACACAUGCUUUUCUUCUUCUACUACGUUUGCUGCUUCUUAUAUGCCUAGUCUUUCAGGUUCAUGUCACAGAGGCUAGACCCUUCCAUGUCCCGACCUGGAUGCCCACAUAUCCCUCUGUUCCAUGUAGAGCUGCUCCAAGAGGAAGUGGAGUUACGGGAAUCAUGAACACGCAGUGUCGAACGAUUCGAAGACCUCCUCCUGCUAAUUAGUGAUCUCGGUCCAAGGGAUAGCAACGUUGAAUAUUAAUUUGAUAUGCAGUCAGAAGUCCACCACUUUAUAUUCAGUCAGAAGUCCACCACGAAUAAAAACUCGACUGUUCAGUUUCGUUAUCAUAUCAUUCCAAAUAAUUGUUUUACGCUUUGCUAAAGAUUAUUGCAUAAUUGAGAUAUUUUCUAUUCUCUUAUAAAAAUCAUGUGUACAUGGUAAAAAUAAAGUUUACAGUAAUGUUUUUGAUCAAAACAAUUCAGCUAACUCACUAGAUAA